UGAAAGGACAUAAGAUGUUUUUGUUUUGAGAAGGUCAUUGAUUAUGACUUGACAAAUUAUAAGGAUUUGGUUGAAUCAAUUGUAGAGAAGUACCCAUCGUGUUAUUUGGAAGUUGCACAUGUGCAGUAUUACGAUGAUGCUCUAAAAACAUGUCCAGAAGUACAGUCCAACCAGGAUUUGAUGCUUAUGUUUUAGAAACACACACAGACAAUGGUGCUCUGUAUGAUCAUUGCAUAUUAUGAUCCCUCUGAACCAUAUGAGCCUAUCACCAAGUGGCAUUGUGAUGUGCAUAGCAAACCUAACAACAAUAUAGAACAAGAGGAUGAUACUUACCUUCGCAACCCAAGACUUGCAAAUGUGCAUGUUGGUGUUGAUGAGGAAAAUGUGUAUGACGUGGAUGAACCUAUGCCCUUAGAUGUGGUUCUUUGUCCUAAUAAAGAAAAGGACAAAGACUAUAUUUUUGAGGAUGAUAGCGAGGCUGGGAGUGAAGUAGAGGAGGCUGAAGUAGAGGAGUAUGAGGAGUUGCAUGAGGCAGAGCAUACUCCACAUGUAGAGCAUGACAAAUUAGACCCUCCAAUAACAAAAGUAUUUACAUAUCCCAGAAUGAAAGAGUUCAAGUUGGCACUUCCUCAGCAUGCAAUCAAACAUGAACUUGAGUAUGACACCGAGUAUAGUACACCUCAUCGGUUUAGGGGCUAUUGUUCAAGAUGGGAUGCAGAUAAUUGUCCAUGGAGGAUACAUGCUUCUAUGACGGAGCAUAAGUGUACGUAAUGGUGAAGAAAAACCCAUGUGGUCAUGAUUGCUCUAGUGCAUGAAGGAAAAAGAAGACAAAGAAUGGAACCAAGAAUUGGGUAUGUGAUAAGGUGAAGGAUUGCCUGAUUGAAGAUGCUACUCUCAGAGCGAAGGCAAUGCAGAAGAUGAUUAAAGAACACCACAAGGUUGGCCUCCACUACAAGAGAGUAUAUAUGGGUAAGAAGCUAGCUUUGAAAGAACUAUAUGGUGAUUGGGAUAGUAGCCUUGAUAAUUUGUAUAGGUUUAAAGCACAAGUUGAAAUCUCUUGCCCUGGUAGCAUAGUUUAGAUUGAUCAUUACACUAUAAAAGAAAAAAUCAGGUUUAGAAGGUUCUUCUUUGCUCCGAAACCUUGCAUAGAUGGAUUCCUUAGUGGUUGCAGGCCGUAUUUGGCAGUAGAUAGCACAUUAUUAACAUGCAGGUUCAAGGGGCAGCUGGCUAGUGCUAUCGCUAUAGAUGGCCAUAAUUGGAUGUAUCCACUUUGCUUUGGAGUUUUUGAUUCCGAAACAAAUGAGAACUGGAUUUGGUUCAUGCAAUUGCUUAGGCAAGCCAUAGGAUCACCAAGGGGUGUAUCUGUAAGCACUGAUGCCGGGCAGGCGGUGAUGACAGGGGUAAAGGAAGCUUUCCCAAAGGUAGAACAUAGGGAAUGCAUGUUUUACUUGGUGUCAAACUUUAAGAAAAAGUAUCACGAAAAGGUGUUUGUUGACCACCUUUGGGCUGCAGUUUACUCAUGGAACACAUAUAUGUUGGGGAACGUUGCAUGGAAAACAAAAAAAAAUCUAUGCACACGCAAG